CACUGAGACACAUCUGGAGCAGUUGGAGACUCUCACUGCAGCUCUGGAAGUCAAACUGGGAGUCAAAGAAGAACAGUUUGAAGAUCUGAGGAUACAAAACUCAGAUCUAACCUCCAAACUGAUGAACCUGUGGGGAAAACUGAACCGAACUGAGAGUCUCCAGGA